UUAUUUUCUUUCUUCGUUUAAUAAUAAGCAUAUCAAAGUAUUUAAGUGGCUCCUUAAAAAUACCAAACUCGUCAAAAAUAACAUCAUCCCAGAAAAAAAUGCGCAUUCAUCUAUUUUUACUUUUUGAAAAAAGAAAUGUAGCCAAGGGUUCAAGACGCACAGAAGUGAAAGAGAAAUCUGGGCGUCGUACGAUUUGGCGUGAGUUUGCGAAGGUUUAAUUGAUAAUGUUAGAGAGGCCUCAUUUCUGAGUAGCUUGCCCCUCCGCUGGGACCUUCGCAUCAGUUUUCAAUUUCAACUCAAAUUUAUAUAUAAUCAAUGUAUGAAAAAAUCGAUCGGAAAAUCAAACCGAACCCCAAAAUACAAGCAUGCGAUUCGGCGAUCGGAUUUCAGAACAAUAUUCGAAGGCAAACUUGGCCGAAAGCGCACCGUUUUUACGCGCUCCCUCCAUAGGUCCCUCGGUUGGUUAGAGAAGAUUUAACAGCAGAAAAUAAAAAAAUAAAGAAAGAAAAUAGUGAGAUGAUGAUGCUCAGUGAAUACGAACCAUAUAGGCUAUUCAUUUUGCAACAGCAAUCGAUGAGUUUUUCUCAUCUCAAUUAUUUUCUUCAUCGCAUCGCCAUUGUUUUCAGAUAAGAUAACACUAAUCGAAUGAAACGACAAAUAAACGAGAGGGUGAGGAGGCGGCAUUAGAUGAGAGAACUGCAAACCCUAAAGCGCGG
rnacentral:lncRNA from 1 species